rnacentral:rRNA from 1 species
UUCCUACGGGGGGCAGCAGUCGGGAAUAUUGCGCAAUGGAGGAAACUCUGACGCAGUGACGCCGCGUGCAGGAAGAAGGUUUUCGGAUUGUAAACUGCUUUAGACAGGGAAGAUAAUGACAGUACCUGUAGAAUAAGCUCCGGCUAACUACGUGCCAGCAGCCGCGGUAAUACGUAGGGAGCAAGCGUUAUCCGGAUUUAUUGGGUUUAAAGGGUGCGUAGGCGGUCGGAUAAGGUAGAGGUGAAAUCCCGAGGCUCAACUUCGGAAUUGCCUCUGAUACUGUUGGGCUUGAGAGGAGUUGGGGG